rnacentral:lncRNA from 1 species
CUAUCGCUUCGUGUACACAGGGCUUUCUGUGUAUGUGGCAGAUUUGUUGGCGAGCUUGGGUUAGACCAGAACCCGGGGGGUGACAAAAAUUUUAUUUUGACAAUUCUAACAUUUUAUUUUGACAUUUUUAUGAGAUAAAUUUGCUGGUGUGUACCAAUACACUAAGGAGCCGUUUGGUUAUAUGUAAUUAUAAAUGCAGUGUAGUUAGAGAUACAUGCAGUUGAAAAUACAGUAGUUACAACUACAUAAAUCAUGUUUGGUUGGAUGUAGUAGAAAGUGCUGCAAGUAUAAAUAAUUUGUUUGGUUGCAUGCAGUUGAGAAAUAAUUUUUAAAUUUUUAUUAUUUUAUAUAUAUGACAGUGAGAUUACCUCCAAUGUAAAAAAAGAAAAUAAUUUUUGUUUAAAAAAUAUUGAGGAGGUAAGUAUACCUUUUAUUUAAAGUUACUCUCUCCAACUGCUAUAGUUGGAACUGCGGCCAAUUUAGGUGUAGGUCGAACUGCUGCAGUUGGGCCUCCUCCUGUAGUUCCUACUGCAGCAAUUGGAGUUAAAUACAUCAAACCAAACACUAAAUUUGUAUUUACAUGCAGUUACAACUGUAGUGCAGUUGCAACUAUAUGCAACCAAAUGGC